GUGAAUCAUCGAAUCUUUGAACGCAUAUUGCACCUUUGAGUAUUCUCUAAGGUAUACCUGUUUGAGCGUCGUUUAGAACAAAUAAAGCUUUGCUUUGUGUUGAGAUUUUGAAAUGGGUUUUUGUCAAAGAGUCCUCUUCAAUUUUCCAAACAUAGUGGCAUUUAUUCUUGGCCGAAACGCAGUGAAAAUGUGUGGAAAACCAAGUUAAUGGAUAGCCAGUCUCCUCUUUUCUCUCUGGAGAAAGUAUGUUCGACCUCAAAUCAAGUAAGACUACCCGCUGAACUUAAGCAUAUCAAUAAG
rnacentral:misc_RNA from 1 species